GGAUAUCCAAAUUCUGAGUGAAAUAAGAGUUUAUUCUAUCUUAUUCCCCCAAAUAGGUAAAAAAAUAGUAGUGGGCCAACCUGGUUUAGCAAUUCAGAUCAAUCUUCCCUAAUUCCAAAUAAUCUUGGUCUAACAAUUCCAUGAUAAACUAUGAAAUUGUUUAUUUUAGGUCUUUAAUGAGCACCAUCUAGACAUAUGAAUAACAUUGCAUUAAUUACAUCGGAUUGGAAUAUUAAAAUUCCAACCAAACAUAAAUCUGAAAUAACAAAGAGGAAUAGCUAUUCUC
rnacentral:lncRNA from 1 species